rnacentral:rRNA from 1 species
UACGGAGGGCGCAAGCGUUGUUCGGAAUCAUUGGGCGUAAAGCGCGUGUAGGUGGCUUGGCAAGUCGGGUGUGAAAUCCCGGGGCUCAACCCCGGAACUGCAUUCGAUACUGCCUCGCUAGAGUCCCGGAGAGGAGGGCGGAAUUCCCGGUGUAGAGGUGAAAUUCGUAGAUAUCGGGAGGAACACCAGUGGCGAAGGCGGCCCUCUGGACGGUGACUGACACUGAGAUGCGAAAGCGUGGGGAGCAAACAGG